rnacentral:rRNA from 1 species
CAUCCCUAGUAGCGGCGAGCGAGCGGGAAGAGCUCAAAUUUAUAAUCUGGCACCUUCGGUGUCCGAGUUGUAAUCUCUAGAAGUGUUUUCCGCGUUGGACCGCACACAAGUCUGUUGGAAUACAGCGGCAUAGUGGUGAAACCCCCGUAUAUGGUGCGGACGCCCAGCGCUUUGUGAUACACUUUCAAUGAGUCGAGUUGUUUGGGAAUGCAGCUCAAAUUGGGUGGUAAAUUCCAUCUAAAGCUAAAUAUUGGCGAGAGACCGAUAGCGAACAAGUACCGUGAGGGAAAGAUGAAAAGCACUUUGGAAAGAGAGUUAACAGUACGUGAAAUUGUUGGAAGGGAAACGCUUGAAGUCAGACUUGCUUGCCGGAGCUUGCUUCGGUUUGCAGGCCAGCAUCAGUUUUCCGGGGUGGAUAAUGACGGUUUGAAGGUAGCAGUCUCGGCUGUGUUAUAGCUUUCCGUUGGAUACAUCCUGGGGGACUGAGGAACGCAGCGUGCUUUUUGCGAAAGACUCGUCUUUUUCACGCUUAGGAUGCUGGUGGAAUGGCUUUAAACGACCCGUCUUGAACCACGGGACCA